GCGCACAAUUCAAUGUCACCUCUUAACUCCAUUAAGAGUCGGGAUAUUUCUGUUGUGCGAGAAAAACUGGAGGUCAAUUAGCAGAGUGGCUCCCUUCUGCCGGCUCUGCCAGUCCCCUUCGUACAUCC
rnacentral:snoRNA from 10 species